CUGGGAGUGAACAGCUCCCAGCCUCCCGGCCUCUGUGUACCCAUCCGCAGCAGACUUCCUGUGAGAGAGGGUAUCCUCUCCACUGGUGAGACAGAGUGUUUGGACCUGGUCACUUAAGGAAGCCACCAAGCUGAAGGUUGAGGACUUCCCUCCAUCUGAAACAGCACCAGGCAGGAAGGAGGCUGUCCAGGUGUGGACGAGGAGGGUUCCUGAUGUCCUGUUGGGUAACUCAUGGUGAUGUCAAGCUCCACUCUUCCAGAGCCCCAGUUCAAUCCCCCAAAUGAAAUGAGGCCACUGUGAGAAACCGGGUCCGGCUUUGCAUCUCAUUUACAUAAAUAUUUAUUAAUCGUCAUUAAACUGAACAGAAACACGCAAUGCACUUCGGGUGUCCGACGGGAGUUUCAUCUUCGCUACAAGAGGAAGGUAAAAUUGCGUGUGAGUGUGUGGGUGAGUGUGUGGGUGUGUUGCCUGUGGGUUUGCAUUUUGCAUCGUGUGUUUGGAUGCCCGAUCUCCUGCCUCCGGUGGGGAAAGGUUCUCCUUUUGCCCCCUUUUCUGGGAAACUUCCAGAAGGAACCCUCAGCCCUCUCCCUGCCCACCUGCUAGCCAGAGCCAAGAGGAUGCA